CAUCAUCAUCAGCAAGUUCUUUCCAAUGUUUACUGACUUGUGCAGCUUGGCAAAGGCUUCUAGCAUCCAAAAAAGAUAAAAUGCGAAACGAAAUUUCAACAGGGAGCAAAGAGAGAAAAUCUAAGCGUACUAGAGAAUCUAAUGUGCUGGAGGCAAAAGAGAGAAGAGAGGACGAACAGUUGUUUAAAAUGCCUUGCAAAGCGAGUUUACGUUCGCUGCAAGAAGCCUCUGAAAAAGCAGCCCAUACAGCUUCGACACGUUGACGACUUUUUUCGCUUAAACCAGACAAUUCAUUAUGCAUUGAAGAAAUAUUAAAAGCCGAAACGGAGAUGGAUUGAUCACCUUCUUUUUUUUCCAGUAAAUGGCGUUGCCAUAGCUCUGCUCGUGGUGCAAGAUUAUCAGAGGGUUCGGAAGUGGGAACAGAUUCAUAACCUGUAGUCAUUUUUUUUAUAAAGGUUAAAUAUUAAGUAUGAAAAGAAAGAAGGGACAAUGCAAAGGUUGAUUUUAGGGUAAAAAAAAAUAGAGUGGAUAAUAGCACAAAAAAAUGUUAUCACGGAUGAUGCGG